rnacentral:tRNA from 1 species
UCCCUGGUGAUUGAGUGGCUAAGAUUCUGAGCUCCCAAUGCAGGGGACCCAGGUUUGACUCCUGGUCAGGGAA